UUGUCUUUUAAAUAAAGACCAGUAUGAAUGGCAAGACGAAAGUUCAACUGUCUCCCUAAAUUAAUCAAUGAAAUUGAUUUUCCCGUGCAGAAGCGGGAAUAAGUUUAUAAGACGAGAAGACCCUAUGGAGCUUUAAAUAUAUGAUCAAUUGUAUAACAUAAGACCAAAAGAUAAAACAUUAAAUAAAACAUAAUGAUCAAAAUUUUAGGUUGGGGCGACCACGGAGAAAAACUAAACCUCCGAGAUGAAGAAAUAUCUUAACUUAUGAACUACAGUUCUAAAAAAUAAAAUAUUUAACAUAAUUGAUCCAAUUUAUUGAUCAACGAACUAAGUUACCCUAGGGAUAACAGCGCAAUCCUUUCCAAGAGUCCCUAUCGACGAAUGGGUUUACGACCUCGAUGUUGGAUCAGGACACCCCGAUGGUGUAGCCGCUAUUAAAGGUUCGUUUGUUCAACGAUUAAAGU
rnacentral:rRNA from 1 species